CGAGCCCAGCCGGUGGUGUUCCCGGCUCCCCGGGCUGCGUGCGGCCGUUUGCGCGGCUCAUCGCGGAAGCGUCCUCGUCCUCGUCCUCGUCCUCGGGGAGCCUGGAAGCUCAGAAAAAAACAGGCCGCGUGCCCACAUCCGUAGACCGGACCCAGGGAGAUCCCAGUAACUAGGCCUCAUGGUCGCGGAGAGGGAGCAAAUGAGUUGUUUUAGACUUGACCAUUGACCUAACUGUGCCACGUACGUUGCCAUCCAAGUACUAAAGAGCAAAGCAUCCUGGAGUGAUACCGGGUGACCUGCGGACUCGACCUUUCUGUGCCUGCGUCUUCACUGAUUAAACAAGAGGAUUGAGCUAACACCUCCUUGAGCUCUGAGAGCCUAUGCUUGCAGGCUCUCUAUCUGCGCGGGUGUAUGUGAACAUGACCUUUCCAUCGUGCUAUUGCUAUUAUUUUAAACCAUUUGGUGAUUAGCUCGGUUAAAAACCUUUCUGUUUCCUAUGAGAGAAGCCCAGAAUUCUGCAGGAGGCUAACGGCAGAGACAGAACUGGGGAGCACGGACCUUGGCCUUCUGCAGCCUUCUGCCGCUGGUUUAGCCCAGAUACUACCCUCACUGACCCAUGGGACCCUAACAUCCUACUAAAGACGUCACCGGGCCUGAGGACACGCUGGAGGGCCGCGGGGCAAGGUGUGCCCCCACCUUCCCGGCUCUCGAGGAUGCUUUCGGUCAUUUUUUGACUCAGAUUUCUGUGUUCCUUGCAAAAACAGCUCAAGUGUUCUCUUCCCUUUCACACACACGUGAUGGAGGCACAAAGGGGCUUGCAGCUGUAGGACAUGUAACAUCUUUAGUACUUUUAAGACGCUUACAUUUGGAAGCUACAAGGUGUUUAUCCCUGUGAUUGACAGUCGGGCUUUCCCUUUACCACUUCGUGCUUAGAUUUCCAGAAGCUUGCUGACGCUGUCUCACCUAGAGGAUAUUAGCAAAGCCUGAAAACUUGACCAACAGCUUUUCAGAUUUGAAGGAGUUUGGGGUAAAAACAUGGAAUUGGGCUAGGGAAACAAACAGAUUCCUCAGAAUCCAUCUUAUCCACGUGGGGGAGGGGGGCUCUAGCCUACUCUUUUGGCAAAGCCAUUUUAAAUGAAUUUGGGAAGGACCCGAUGGACUGGAAGGGGCAGGUGCCACGCAUGCCCUGGAAGACAUUGUGGGCUCGUGGAAGCGUCAUGGGAGUUUCUGCCAGCCUGGGGCCUAGCUGCUCU